rnacentral:misc_RNA from 1 species
UUCUCAACCUUAACAGCUUCAGUUUCUUCGACCUCUUUUAAUGCUUCAUUAACAGUCUGAGUGCUCUCAACCUUGACAGCUGAAGCAGCAGCGCUGCUGAGCACCAGGAGACGAGCCUUAUGCUUCUUCCCUACCCUGUGUGCCUCCAAUGACACCUCUGACAGAGCCCCUACUUUGCACGUUGCGCACCAAAAUUUGUACUUCUUCCUAGCCUUCUGCUUUUUUGGAGCUGCAUUUGCACUUUUCUUCAAGUCAUCAGCAUUGUGAUGCAGAGUUGGGGUGAUGGUGUCCUCUGCACCUUCUUUCUCCAAAAUUACUAGAGAUGAUCUUUCCCCUGAUUUGUUCUGAAGCAACAAUUCAACUUGUGGUUUUACCAUUUGCUCCAUGUUAACAUUGCCAUCGGCUUCUGAAAGGUUGUUAAUCUUAGGUUUCUUUGGGAAAAGACCGAUGCUGUAGUUCUUCCCGAACCUCUGUUCUCGCAAAGCAGCUUCCUUGGACUUGUGUUUCUUUCCUUGGAGGUGAUCAUUCAGACCACGCUCACAAGUCGCACUUACCUGGCAAAGUGCACAACUCCAGUCCUCUUUCCCAUUUUUGUUUGGAACACUGGAAGACGGAGGCUGGCUGGCAACAUCCACUGGUGGUGUAACAGCUUUUCGUUUUGCUCCAGAGACACUAGGCUUAGCCAGCAAGAUGAUCUUGUCUUUUUCUUUGCUAGGCUCCAAAGGGGGCUGCAAUUCUGAAAUCAUCGGCACUGAACUGUGGGGUACAGGCUUCAAAGCAGAAUUUUCUGGUUCCACACUCCGCUGCUGAAAAGGAAUCUCUGGAAUCCGCUCCUCAAAUGGUACUAUUUCAAGUCUCCCAAUCUCAUUUCUUGCACCCAUUCUAGAGACUGAUAUGUCCCUUCCCAUCCUAUCCUCAAGUGACCUUGCAAUUCUUUCCUCUACAGACCUUACAACACUCUGUUGCUUCGAGAACGGAAGCAUGUGAGAGAAACUCAUUGCAGGUGAAGAAAAAGGAGACAAUCCCUCUCCACUCUGCUUUGCUAGUUCUCUUUCCAUCAUGAGCUCUCGUCUAACUUCCAACUCCAACAUGUGUCUUCGAGCUUUUUCUUCAGCUAUAAUCUCCUGUUUAAUUUUCUCCUUCUCAAUCUCUCUCCAAAUUGCCUCACGCAUAUUGGCAGGUUGGUUUUGGAUAUGAUCAGGUUUGUUUUCAAAUUGAGGCGCCGUGUAGCCAGCUCGAAUGGCUUGUUGAGUGAAGUAACCUUCAUCUGCAGCUU